UACGUAGGGUGCAAGCGUUAAUCGGAAUUACUGGGUUUAAAGGGUGCGUAGGCGGGCCAUUAAGUCAGUGGUGAAAGCUCCGAGCUUAACUCGGAAACUGCCAUUGAUACUAUUGGUCUUGAAUUCGGUCGAGGUUGGCGGAAUGUGUCGUGUAGCGGUGAAAUGCUUAGAUAUGACACAGAACACCGAUUGCGAAGGCAGCUAGCUAGACCGACAUUGACGCUGAGGCACGAAAGCGUGGGGAUCAAACAGG
rnacentral:rRNA from 1 species